rnacentral:rRNA from 1 species
UACGGGGGGGGCAAGCGUUGUUCGGAAUUACUGGGCGUAAAGGGCUCGUAGGCGGCCAACUAAGUCAGACGUGAAAUCCCUCGGCUUAACCGGGGAACUGCGUCUGAUACUGGAUGGCUUGAGAUUGGGAGAGGGAUGCGGAAUUCCAGGUGUAGCGGUGAAAUGCGUAGAUAUCUGGAGGAACACCGGUGGCGAAGGCGGGCAUCCUGGACCAACACUGACGCUGAGGAGCGAAAAGCCAGGGGAGCAAACGGG